GGGUUGUGAGGUUAAGCGACUAAGCGUACACGGUGGAUGCCCUGGCAGUCAGAGGCGAUGAAGGACGUGCUAAUCUGCGAUAAGCGUCGGUAAGGUGAUAUGAACCGUUAUAACCGGCGAUUUCCGAAUGGGGAAACCCAGUGUGUUUCGACACACUAUCAUUAACUGAAUCCAUAGGUUAAUGAGGCGAACCGGGGGAACUGAAACAUCUAAGUACCCCGAGGAAAAGAAAUCAACCGAGAUUCCCCCAGUAGCGGCGAGCGAACGGGGAGCAGCCCAGAGCCUGAAUCAGUGUGUGUGUUAGUGGAAGCGUCUGGAAAGGCGCGCGAUACAGGGUGACAGCCCCGUACACAAAAAUGCACAUGCUGUGAGCUCGAUGAGUAGGGCGGGACACGUGGUAUCCUGUCUGAAUAUGGGGGGACCAUCCUCCAAGGCUAAAUACUCCUGACUGACCGAUAGUGAACCAGUACCGUGAGGGAAAGGCGAAAAGAACCCCGGCGAGGGGAGUGAAAAAGAACCUGAAACCGUGUACGUACAAGCAGUGGGAGCCUCUUUAUGGGGUGACUGCGUACCUUUUGUAUAAUGGGUCAGCGACUUAUAUUCUGUAGCAAGGUUAACCGAAUAGGGGAGCCGAAGGGAAACCGAGUCUUAACUGGGCGUUAAGUUGCAGGGUAUAGACCCGAAACCCGGUGAUCUAGCCAUGGGCAGGUUGAAGGUUGGGUAACACUAACUGGAGGACCGAACCGACUAAUGUUGAAAAAUUAGCGGAUGACUUGUGGCUGGGGGUGAAAGGCCAAUCAAACCGGGAGAUAGCUGGUUCUCCCCGAAAGCUAUUUAGGUAGCGCCUCGUGAAUUCAUCUCCGGGGGUAGAGCACUGUUUCGGCAAGGGGGUCAUCCCGACUUACCAACCCGAUGCAAACUGCGAAUACCGGAGAAUGUUAUCACGGGAGACACACGGCGGGUGCUAACGUCCGUCGUGAAGAGGGAAACAACCCAGACCGCCAGCUAAGGUCCCAAAGUCAUGGUUAAGUGGGAAACGAUGUGGGAAGGCCCAGACAGCCAGGAUGUUGGCUUAGAAGCAGCCAUCAUUUAAAGAAAGCGUAAUAGCUCACUGGUCGAGUCGGCCUGCGCGGAAGAUGUAACGGGGCUAAACCAUGCACCGAAGCUGCGGCAGCGACGCUUAUGCGUUGUUGGGUAGGGGAGCGUUCUGUAAGCCUGUGAAGGUGUGCUGUGAGGCAUGCUGGAGGUAUCAGAAGUGCGAAUGCUGACAUAAGUAACGAUAAAGCGGGUGAAAAGCCCGCUCGCCGGAAGACCAAGGGUUCCUGUCCAACGUUAAUCGGGGCAGGGUGAGUCGACCCCUAAGGCGAGGCCGAAAGGCGUAGUCGAUGGGAAACAGGUUAAUAUUCCUGUACUUGGUGUUACUGCGAAGGGGGGACGGAGAAGGCUAUGUUGGCCGGGCGACGGUUGUCCCGGUUUAAGCGUGUAGGCUGGUUUUCCAGGCAAAUCCGGAAAAUCAAGGCUGAGGCGUGAUGACGAGGCACUACGGUGCUGAAGCAACAAAUGCCCUGCUUCCAGGAAAAGCCUCUAAGCAUCAGGUAACAUCAAAUCGUACCCCAAACCGACACAGGUGGUCAGGUAGAGAAUACCAAGGCGCUUGAGAGAACUCGGGUGAAGGAACUAGGCAAAAUGGUGCCGUAACUUCGGGAGAAGGCACGCUGAUAUGUAGGUGAAGUCCCUCGCGGAUGGAGCUGAAAUCAGUCGAAGAUACCAGCUGGCUGCAACUGUUUAUUAAAAACACAGCACUGUGCAAACACGAAAGUGGACGUAUACGGUGUGACGCCUGCCCGGUGCCGGAAGGUUAAUUGAUGGGGUUAGCGCAAGCGAAGCUCUUGAUCGAAGCCCCGGUAAACGGCGGCCGUAACUAUAACGGUCCUAAGGUAGCGAAAUUCCUUGUCGGGUAAGUUCCGACCUGCACGAAUGGCGUAAUGAUGGCCAGGCUGUCUCCACCCGAGACUCAGUGAAAUUGAACUCGCUGUGAAGAUGCAGUGUACCCGCGGCAAGACGGAAAGACCCCGUGAACCUUUACUAUAGCUUGACACUGAACAUUGAGCCUUGAUGUGUAGGAUAGGUGGGAGGCUUUGAAGUGUGGACGCCAGUCUGCAUGGAGCCGACCUUGAAAUACCACCCUUUAAUGUUUGAUGUUCUAACGUUGACCCGUAAUCCGGGUUGCGGACAGUGUCUGGUGGGUAGUUUGACUGGGGCGGUCUCCUCCUAAAGAGUAACGGAGGAGCACGAAGGUUGGCUAAUCCUGGUCGGACAUCAGGAGGUUAGUGCAAUGGCAUAAGCCAGCUUGACUGCGAGCGUGACGGCGCGAGCAGGUGCGAAAGCAGGUCAUAGUGAUCCGGUGGUUCUGAAUGGAAGGGCCAUCGCUCAACGGAUAAAAGGUACUCCGGGGAUAACAGGCUGAUACCGCCCAAGAGUUCAUAUCGACGGCGGUGUUUGGCACCUCGAUGUCGGCUCAUCACAUCCUGGGGCUGAAGUAGGUCCCAAGGGUAUGGCUGUUCGCCAUUUAAAGUGGUACGCGAGCUGGGUUUAGAACGUCGUGAGACAGUUCGGUCCCUAUCUGCCGUGGGCGCUGGAGAACUGAGGGGGGCUGCUCCUAGUACGAGAGGACCGGAGUGGACGCAUCACUGGUGUUCGGGUUGUCAUGCCAAUGGCACUGCCCGGUAGCUAAAUGCGGAAGAGAUAAGUGCUGAAAGCAUCUAAGCACGAAACUUGCCCCGAGAUGAGUUCUCCCUGACCCUUUAAGGGUCCUGAAGGAACGUUGAAGACGACGACGUUGAUAGGCCGGGUGUGUAAGCGCAGCGAUGCGUUGAGCUAACCGGUACUAAUGAACCGUGAGGCUUAACCUUACAACGCCGAAG
rnacentral:rRNA from 1 species